AGGGCUCCCCGGGGCAGUUUGGGGGUCCUUGGGGCAAUUAAGGGCUCCCUGGGGCAGUUUAGGGGCUCCCUGGGGCAAUUAAGGGCUCCCUGGGGCAGUUUAGGGGUCCUUGGGGCAGUUUAGGGGGUCUCGGGGGGUUUAAGAAGCACCCUCAGCCAGUUGGAGGGGUCCCUGGGGUAGUAGGGAGGGGCGCAGAAAAUUUUAAGGGGUUUCUGGGGCAGUUUAGGGGAUCCUAGGGGGAGUUGAGAAGGUCCGAGGAGUUUAAGGAGCUCCGCUGGGCAGUUGGGGGGCUCCCCGGGACAGUUUAGGGGGUCCAAGGGGCAGUUUAGGGGUCCCCGGGGCAGUUGAAAGGGGUCCUGGGGACAGUUGAGAGGGUCUGGGGGGGUUUAAGGAGCACCCUGGGCUUCUUGGGGGGUCCUCGGGGCAGCUGGGGGGUCCCUGGAGCAGUUAACAGGGUCUGGGGGAUUUAAGGAGCACCGUGGGGCAGUUGGGGGGGGUUCUGGUGGCAGCUGGGGGGGUCCCAGGGGCAGUUGAGUAGGUCCGGGGUGUUUAAGGAGCACCCUGGAGCAAAUGGGGGGGUCCCUGGCGUAGUUGGGGAGGAUUGUGGGGAGUUUAGGGGGUCCCUGGGGUAGUUGAGAAGGGUUGUGGGGCAGUUUAGGGGGUCCCCAGAGCAGGAUAGGGGUCUCAGGAUCAGUUCGGGGAGCCCAGGGGCAAUUCGGAGGACCUUGGGGCAGCUGGGAGGGGGGCAUGGGGCAGGUUAGAGGCCCUGAGGGCCAGUUGAGGGCCCUUUGGGGCAGUUUGGGGGUUCCUGGGGCAGGAUACAGAGUUGGGGGGGGGCAAUUUGAAGGGGCAGAUAAAAAACAAGGGGGCAGUAGGAGGAUGAAGGAUGAAGUCGGGGGGGGGUCCUUUGGCCCCAGGGGGACAGCGGUGACGGAGGGGUGCUCGAGAGGGAAAGCUGGGGCUGACGGGGGGCAGCUUGGGGGGCAUGUAGGGGCCGGGGGGGCAGUUGUUUCCAUGGGGCAGUUGUUGCUGCCCCUCAGGCGAUGCAGCGAAGGCGCCACGGAGGCCUCUGCACCACGGGGGGCACAGGUAGGUCCCCGUCCCCCUCCCCAUAUCCUGGGGAUUGGGUGCAAGGGGGUUCCUGGACGCUGGGGUCCCUAUCAGAGGGGUGUCCAGCAGCCCCCGCCCCCCCAAAAAAAAAACCACCUGGAUCCCACAGUGCAGGGGCCGGAGCUGAGGCACCCCAUCGCCAGCGACUCGGAGGACGACGAGACGUGGCGGUGCCCGACCACUGGCAACACCGCCUCACCCCAAGUUGUGCCAGAGAGCGACCCGGAGGAGCCAGAUGUGUGCCCAGACAUUCGCGUGCUCCGAAAGCGCCGUCCCACCCCAGCCCUGGGCCUCCGCACAGAUUUGGCCCAAUCCCACCUGGAUCCGGACGUCGGGGGACCCAAAAAGCGCCGUUUGUGUCCCAAAACUACCCCAGCUCCAGAUGUGGGGAACAAAACGGCAAUUUCAGACAUUCGGCCCCAAAAUCACUCCCCAAACCCAAAAGGGCAGGUGGAUCCAGAUGUGAAGCACCUGGGAGGCAGCACAGUGGCUCUUGGCAUUGAAAGCGAUACAGAUGACGAGAUGCACCCAAAAUCUGCUCUUUUUCACCCUAACCGUCACCAGGCCGCCCUGGAGGCAAGUGGUGACCCAAAUGUGGAGAAACGAGGCCCAAAUCCAGGUGCUGAAGGUGCCCAAAAUGGGCGUUGGAUGCUCGCGGUGGACAGCGACACGGACGUGGAGGAGGCUGACGUUCUUCCGUCUGUUGGAUGCCCAAAAAUGCGUCGAAAGGCCCAAAGGGUGCCAAAAGCCCCAGGUGUGGAGAUGAAGCCCCCAAAUCCAGAUGCUGGCAGUUCGAAAAAUGGAUUCCAGACGCUCGUGGUGGAUAGUGACACGGAUGUGGAGAUGGAGAGCUCAAAUUCAGCUGUGGAGGAUCCCCAACGUGGACAUCAGGCAUUCGGGGUGGACAGUGACACAGAUGUGGAGGAAGGUGGAGCAAAUCCAGCUGUUGGGCUGGCCAAAACCCCUCAAACGACCGAAAACACCCCGAACUCUUCAAACAUAAAGAUGAAGAGCCCACAUUCAGCUGUUAAAGGCCCCCAUGAGGAACAUCCACCGCUCACAGUAGACAGCGAUACUGAUGUGGAAGAGGACAGAGCAAAUCCAGAUGUUGUGUGCCUCCCAACCCCUCAAACGGCCCAAAACGCACCAAAACCCCCAAAUAUUGAGCUGGAGACUCCAAACCCAGAUGCUGACGGAUGCCAAAAGGAGAACUGGAUGCUUGUGGUAGACAGUGAUACGGACGUUGAAGACAACAUCCUUCCAGAUGUUGUCAGCCCAAAACCCCACGCAAUGACCCACAGAGACCCAGGUGUGGAGACCCGAGGUCAAGAUGCUGAGGGACCCAAAAUGAGAUGCCGGUCCCCACUGGUGGACAGCAAUACAGAUGUGGAUGAGGAGCCUUCGAGUGCAGAAGGCAGGGAUCCAAAACCGCAUCAAAUAACCCAAAAUGCACAGAGGAACCUGGAUGCAGAGAUGCGGACCCCGAGUCCACAUCCUAGAGAACCGCAAAGUGGGCACGAGAUGGUCAAAGUGGACAGCGAUACAGAUGUGGAUGAGGAGCCUUCGAGUGCAGAAGGCAGGGAUCCAAAACCACAUCAAAUAACCCAGAAUGCACAGAGGAACCUGGAUGCAGAGAUGCAGACCCUGAGUCCACGUCCUGGAGAACCGCAAAGUGGGCACGAGAUGGUCAAAGUGGACAGCGAUACAGAUGUGGAUGAGGACCCUUCCGAUCCAGAAGGUAGGGAUCCAAAACCACAUCAAAUAACCCAGAAUGCACAGAGAAACACGGAUGUGGAGAUGGAGACCCCAAGUCCACAUCCUGGAGAACUGCAAAGCGGACACGAGAUGGUCAAAGUGGACAGCGAUACAGAUGUGGAGGAGGAUGGGCUGAAUCCAGAUGUUGGGUGUCGAGAAACCCAUAGAAUGACCCCAAAAAUCCACAAUGACUCAGACGUAGCAAUAAAGACCCCAAAUCCUGAUCUUGAAGGUCCCCAAAACAGAGGCCAGAACCUGGAGGUGGACAGCGACACAGAUGUAGAGGGAGAAGACCUGAACCCAGAUGUUCCUGGCCUGAAAAACCACAAAACGCCCCAAAAUGCCCAGAAGGACCCAACUGUGGUGAUGGAAACCCCGAAUCCAGAUGUUGUCGGCCUCCACCGUGGCUCGAUGCCACCCGGCAGUGACAGCGACACGGAUGUGGAGGGCCUCGAGGACAUUGAAACUCCAAAAACGCGUCGGACCACACGUGAGGUUACCGGGAUGGGUGCUAAGAAUGCCGCUGCUCCAGAUGUUGAUCCUCGGUGGCACGCCUGGACCAAGGGGGGGCUAAAUGUGAAGGGGACAGCCCCAAAUCCAGAUGUUGGUCAGCACGUGGACCUAAACGUGGACAGUGAUACCAGGGUCGAGGACAAUGGUGUGGUGCCAGAUGUUGGGGCUGUACAAGGGGGGCAGGGGACACCUGGUGAUCCAGAUGUGGCGAUGGCACCCUUAGAUCCAGAUGUUUCCCCUCCUGUGACCCCCCAGAGUGGCAGCGACACCGACGUGGAGGAGGUGGCCCCCACUCCCUACGUUCGGAGCCUCCGGAGCAAAACCCGACCCCGAAAUCCAGAUGUUGUGGACACCGCAAUGGGCAGCGAUACCAAUGUGGGGCUGACGGACCCCAAAUGCCAGAAACCAGUCCAAAACAGGCAGGGUUUGCCCCCCAAAUCAUGCAGUGACGGAGGUGUGGAAGGAGAGGUGCCAAAACGGCAUGAUUUAGCCCCAAAUACAGACGCGGAGGACCCGAAUCCAGAUGACAAGGUGCAACAACACAACCCCCAGACCUCAGUGAUGGGCAGCGAUACAGAUGUGGCGCCAGCUGGUCUGGCCCCCAAAUCUCCAAUUACGGCCCCAAAUUUGAGCCUCGGUGGUGAUGCUGCUUGGGGAUCCAGGAGUGCUCAGGCCACCCCUCAUGGGGACACAGAUGCGGAGGUGGCAGAAAGUGAAACUGAGGGUGAGUGGGGUGGCCUUUGUCACCUCUGUCCCUUCCUUGAUCACCUUGGUUCCUUGGCCACCUGGGUUCCUUCCUUGGUUCUUUUGGUCCCCUUGUCCCCUUCCUUGGCCACCUGGGUCCCUUCCUUGGCC
ensembl:lncRNA